GACGUAGGGCGCGAGCGUUGUCCGGAAUUAUUGGGCGUAAAGAGCUCGUAGGCGGUCUGUUACGUCUGCUGUGAAAACCCAGGGCUUAACCCUGGGCUUGCAGUGGAUACGGGCAGACUAGAGGCAGGUAGGGGAGAAUGGAAUUCCCGGUGUAGCGGUGAAAUGCGCAGAUAUCGGGAGGAACACCGGUGGCGAAGGCGGUUCUCUGGGCCUGACCUGACGCUGAGGAGCGAAAGCGUGGGGAGCAAACGGG
rnacentral:rRNA from 1 species